AACAGGAAGAAGCAGACGACGUGGUUGGCAUCUCAGCAAGCCCAUCCGUCUUAGAGGCACGUGGCCGUUUCCUUGGAGGGGCACAUUUGGCCGAAGCAGAUCUCCUUGAAGCCGGUCGCCUUGGUCAUCCCGCUGGCUGUAUGGUUGUAGAGGAGGCAGUAGUCGUUGGGGCUGCUGGCGGUGGUGUUGACUGAGGAGCUGCUAGACGCCUGCCAGGGAAGGACACAAGGAUGGAGGGUUUUCAUGUACGUCCACAAGAACUUUGGGGAGGACGGUGGGCUGAACUGGAAGGUGAUUUGGUUGGUUUUGUUGGUGUUGGGCGACGUGUGCGUCAUCUGGAGGACGGAGGGCGAGUACUUCACAAACUAAACAACACAACAACACAACUUGUCACACAACAACUUUCUUGCACUCCCUUGGAGCACAUUGUCACGUAUCACUAACUGUAACUAAAUGUGUUUAUUAUUUUGUAUUUUUAAUCUUGCAGACAGAAAUACAUUUGCAUACUGUGAUCAACUUUGUAUUUUUUAAGUAUUGUUAUACUUUGAAUGUUGAUGAACUGUUUAUAUUUAUUACUAUUUCUGUAUAGUUACAUUUUUGGUAUUAUAAUUAUUUACAGAGUGCACAGAAUGAUAUAAUUUUCUACACAGGGUAAAUUUAGUUGCUGAAACACAUGUUACACCUUAAGAUUGUGACCUUUAGUUGCAAUAUUCUAAAUAAUUCCAUUGCAGGGCUUAAGUAAGUAGAAGUGGGUUUUUUUGUUUCAAAAAAAGGUAGGAAUAAAGGACCAAAUAGUGUCAACUGGGCUUUGACAAUAUAUACUGAAUUUAACAAGUACGUAUUAAAUAUCCAUAUUCCCCAUGCAUUAUUUUUUUCAACAUAUUUUUCAUAUUUUGCACAAAUUGGCAUCUUUGACAUAUUUUUUUUGGUCCACAUGAAUUACAAAAUGGAAUCAUUUAUGAAGUUGUCCAUGAUGACAUUAUUGAAUGAAAUCAUAUUGUGGUCAUUGAAUUGACUUAUUUGACUAGACUUACAGAAUG